rnacentral:rRNA from 1 species
GAUGAACGCUGGCGGCGUGCCUAAUACAUGCAAGUCGAGCGAAUGGAUUAAGAGCUUGCUCUUAUGAAGUUAGCGGCGGACGGGUGAGUAACACGUGGGUAACCUGCCCAUAAGACUGGGAUAACUCCGGGAAACCGGGGCUAAUACCGGAUAACAUUUUGAACCGCAUGGUUCGAAAUUGAAAGGCGGCUUCGGCUGUCACUUAUGGAUGGACCCGCGUCGCAUCAGCUAGUUGGUGAGGUAACGGCUCACCAAGGCAACGAUGCGUAGCCGACCUGAGAGGGUGAUCGGCCACACUGGGACUGAGACACGGCCCAGACUCCUACGGGAGGCAGCAGUAGGGAAUCUUCCGCAAUGGACGAAAGUCUGACGGAGCAACGCCGCGUGAGUGAUGAAGGCUUUCGGGUCGUAAAACUCUGUUGUUAGGGAAGAACAAGCGCUAGUUGAAUAAGCUGGCACCUUGACGGUACCUAACCAGAAAGCCACGGCUAACUACGUGCCAGCCGCCGCGGUAA